rnacentral:rRNA from 1 species
GACGUAGGGUCCGAGCGUUGUCCGGAGUUACUGGGCGUAAAGCGCGCGCAGGCGGUUGAUCGCAUCGGCGGUGAAAGCCCCCGCUCAACCGGGGAGGGUCCGUCGAGAUGGGUCAACUGGAGGCAGGGAGAGGCCAGUGGAAUUCCGGGUGUAGUGGUGAAAUGCGUAGAUAUCAGGAGGAACACCGGUGGUGCAGACGGCUUUCUGGACCAUUGUUGACGCUGAGACACGAAAGCGUGGGUAGCAAACAGG